GGUGACGGCCCCUCCGGCCACACAUUCCUAGCACGGGGGCGUUCACACAGGACGUCACGGUGACGCGCUUUCCGGAGCAGCUUGCUGCCGUGCGCCGGGAUGGAUCGCCCCGAAUAGCCGCCAUGUAUCCUCGCCCGCUCUACCAGAUGGCGGCAGAGAGCCCCCCGGGUCACCACCGAGCGCCCGCCGCCCUCCGCCGCGCCCACAGCACCCUGCUGCCGUCCAUGCUGAUGUUCGGGGUGAUCGUGGCGUCCAGCGGGCUGCUCCUGAUGAUAGAGCGGGGGAUCCUGGCCGAGGUGAAGACCCCUCCUCCCCGCGGGGACGUGGCGUGGCGGAGCCGCACCCGGGAGCUGGAGGCCGAGGAGCUGGAGCUGCAGAUCCUGCGGGACGUCCGGAACCGCACCACCAGCCGGGUGUGCGGGCACCAGAGCAUGCCUAUGCCCAGUGUGUGGGCGCUGCCGCCCGGCCAGAGGAGGACCCUGCUCAAGCACAUCAUCGUCAACGACAAGUACAAGUUCCUGUACUGCUACGUGCCCAAGGUGGCCUGCUCCAACUGGAAGAGGGUCCUGAAGGUGCUGGACGGCAGCCUGGAGAGCCUGGACUCCCGGCUGAAGAUGGACCACCAGAAGGACCUGGUCUUCUUGGCUGACCUGUCCGUCCAGCAGAUCAAGCAUCGCCUGCGCCAUUACUACAAGUUCCUGUUCGUGCGGGAGCCGCUGGAGCGCCUGCUGUCCGCCUACCGGAACAAGUUCGGGGAGAUCAAGGAGUACCAGCAGCGCUACGGCCUGGAGAUCGUCCGCCGCUACCGGCAGGACCCCGCCGCCGCCUCUUCCAAGGGGGAUGACGUCACCUUCUCAGAGUUCCUCCGGUACCUGCUGGACGAGGACGCGGAGAAGAUGAACGAGCACUGGAUGCCCAUCUACAACCUGUGCCAGCCCUGUGCCGUGCCCUACGACUUCAUAGGCAGCUAUGAGAGGCUGGGGGAGGACGCCAACCAGGUGCUGGAGGCCAUCGGUGCCCCCAGCUACAUCCGGUUCCCCGAGAGACAAGCCUGGUACAAGCCGGUCACCAAAGAGACCCUCCGUUACUUCCUGUGUAACACCCCGCAGGGGCUGCUCAGGGAGCUGCUGCCCAAGUACAUCAUGGACUACUCCUUAUUCGCCUAUACCCUGCCCAAUAUCACCAGUCAAUACUGCAGGCAGUAAGGCCUCGUGCCAUGCAGGCGGUAAUAUACCAGGCAGGUAGUAAGGUCUGAUACCAUGCAGGUAGUAAGGUCUGAUACCAUCAGGCAGUAAUGCCUCAUGCCCUGCAGGCAGUAAUAUACCAGGCAGGUAGUAAGGUCUGAUACCAUGCAGGCAGUAAUGCCUCAUGCCAUGCAGGUGGUAAUACGCAGGUAGUAAGGUCUGAUACCAUGCAGGCGGUAAUGUCUGAUGCCAUGCAGGUGGUAAUAUACCAGGCAGGUAGUAAGGUCUGAUACCAGGCAGGUAGUAAGGUCUGAUACCAUCAGGCAGUAAUGCCUCAUGCCCUGCAGGCAGUAAUAUACCAGGCAGGUAGUAAGGUCUGAUACCAUGCAGGCAGUAAUGCCUCAUGCCAUGCAGGUGGUAAUACGCAGGUAGUAAGGUCUGAUACCAUGCAGGCGGUAAUGUCUGAUGCCAUGCAGGCGGUAAUGUCUGAUACCACACAGGUAGUAAUGUCUUACACCAUGCAGGUAGUAAGGUCUCAUGCUACGCAGGCAGUAAUGUCUGGUACCACGCUGGCGGUAAUAUACCAUGCAGGGAGUAAUGUCUCUUACCAUGUAGGCAGUAAGGUCUUGAUGGUAAUAAGCUGAUAUACCAUGCUGACAGUGAGGCCAUAUUGAAUCCGGCAAUGCCAGAGAUGUGACUAGAUCACCACUUGAUCCCUAUUGACUAUAAUAGGAUCCAGCAGUGAUCUGGCCUCUUUUCAGCAUAAAAGCCGGGUUUUAAUUGGACAAUACUGAUGCACGCAGGGUUUUUAUUCUGGCCGACAUUCGGCAUUCAUGCCGGAUCAUCCCUAAAAGAGAUGUGAACACAGCCUACGGUCUUACACCAUGCAGAUGGUCAGGUCUCAUACAGUGCAGGUACUAAGGUCUCAUACAGUGCAGGUAUUACGGUCUUAUACUGUGCAGGAGGUCACUUUUUAUACCAUGUAGGUACUAAGUUCUUAUACCGUUCAGGAAGUCAGCUGUUAUACCGCGCAGGCGGUCCGCUCUUAUACCGCGCAGGCGGUCCGCUCUUAUACCGCGCAGGCGGUCCGCUCUUAUACCGCGCAGGCGGUCCGCUCUUAUACCAUGCAGGCGGUCAGCUCUUAUACCGCGCAGGCGGUCAGCUCUUAUACCGCGCAGGCGGUCAGCUCUUAUACCGCGCAGGCGGUCAGCUCUUAUACCGCGCAGGCGGUCAGCUCUUAUACCAUGCAGGCGGUCAGCUCUUAUACCAUGCAGGCGGUCAGCUCUUAUACCGCGCAGGCGGUCAGCUCUUAUACCAUGCAGGCGGUCAGCUCUUAUACCGUUCAGGAAGUCCGCUCUUAUACCGCGCAGGAAGUCCGCUCUUAUACCGCGCAGGCGGUCCGCUCUUAUACCGCGCAGGCGGUCAGCUCUUAUACCAUGCAGGCGGUCAGCUCUUAUACCGUUCAGGAGGUCCGCUCUUAUACCGCGCAGGCGGUCCGCUCUUAUACCGCGCAGGCGGUCCGCUCUUAUAUCGUGCAGCCAGUAAGCUCUUGCGGCUUUUUCUCCAGUCUCAGUAUUUGCUGCAGUUAUAUCCAUUGUCCUGUGUGUAGCAGUCAUACAUACAUUGUGCAUACGGCCAUACGGUUUGUCGUGUUACAGUGUAACCUUCCGUGUAUAUACGUCCUGUAUACUAGUAGGCAUCCUACUUCUUAUCUAUGCAAGAGGGAGCGCCGGGCACAUUGACCAGCAAUGGGGCUAGGAGCAACGUGUCACAUGAUAAACAUCCUUCAGACCGUAAUGUUAGAAAACGCUGAACAAGACCCAUCCCUUUAUAGCGGGGUCUCCGCGUUCAGGUCUUUGGACGCAUGUCCUCUCUCACAGCCAUGUCUGACUGCACCAGUAUGUUGGGGUUCCACAGGUUGUAGGACUACCUUAUUAUACGUUGACUAUUUAUUACCUGUGUAAUGCCCUCUCCUGGUGGUGUGUGUCCAUGAAUGUUGUUCUGUCCACAGAUGGUCGGGGUAAACCACCCCUAUAGACCAGUGUUCCUCAACUCCAGUCCUCAGGGUCCAUCAUGAUUUGAGUAUAUCUCACAGAAUGAUGCAUAGUCAAUAAUUACCACCUGCUCAACACUGUGGAAAUCCUGAAAACAUGACUGAUGGUUGGCCCUUGAGGACUGGAGUAGAGGACCACUGCUCUAGAGGAUGUCCACACAGGACUUAAAGGGACUUUGGGUUAGGUGCUUACCUGCUUCCCGGUGCUUUCUCUCCUCUCCCGUGUUUAGCCGCAGCGGUGACCUGCUACUUUUGCGCCGUGUGACCAUUUGACAUGAAGCAAGGGGAGCGGGUCACCUCUGCGGGCAACAAUUGGCUGCAGCAGUAUCAAACUGGAACUUGACAGGUGGAGCGGAGAGCCAGCACCGGUAGGCCGGUAAGCAGAUUUCCUAUCUCAGGUCUGUCCAAGAGGGACAAGGGUUUGCCACAGACUAACGAACCACAGGGACCCCCACAGAUCACAACACCUAGGGGGGUCCAUCUCCCACAUUUGUAUGGAGCAGCGGUCAAGCAUGUACAGUGCUGCUUGGUUCGGGACUGGCCAAGAGAAGCUGACCCUAUUCUUGUGAUCAUUGGGGGUUCCAGAGGUCAGAUCCCCACUGAUCAG